GCCAGGCAUGGUGGUGGGUGCCUGUAAUCCCAGCUACUCGGGAGGCUGAGGCAGGAGAAUCGCUUGAGCCCAGGAGGCAGAGGUUGCAGUGAGCCAAGAUCACGCCGCUGCACUCUAGCCUGGGCAACAGAGCAAGAUUCUGUCUCAA
rnacentral:SRP_RNA from 1 species